UCGAAUCUUUGAACGCACAUUGCACCUUGUGGUAUUCCACAAGGUAUGCCUGUUUGAGCGUCAUUCUCCCUCAACCCCCGCGGGUUGGCGUUGAAUGGCACGAGCUCUUAGUCAGUCCAUUCGAAAAGUAUUUUUCUUGUGUUGUUAUUUUCUAAUUUAGUAGUGACAACCACACUAAAAACACAUUUUCCUCAAAUCAGGUAGGACUACCCGCUGAACUUAAGCAUAUCAAUAAGCGGAGGAAAAGAAACCAACAGGGAUUGCCUCAGUAACGGCGAGUGAAGCGGCAAAAGCUCAAAUUUGGAAUCUCAGUCUUUCAGGCUGCGAGUUGUAAUUUGAAGACGUAUUUUGAAGUAAGCACAUGUCGAAGUUCCUUGGAACAGGACGUCACAGAGGGUGAGAAUCCCGUGCGAUGUGUUCACUGCUUCAUGUAAAAUGCAGUCGAAGAGUCGAGUUGUUUGGGAAUGCAGCUCUAAGUGGGUGGUAAAUUCCAUCUAAAGCUAAAUAUUGGCGAGAGACCGAUAGCGAACAAGUACAGUGAUGGAAAGAUGAAAAGAACUUUGAAAAGAGAGUGAAAAAGUACGUGAAAUUGUUGAAAGGGAAGGGCUUGAGAUCAGACUCGGGCAACCGGGCCAGCAUGGGGUGGGGGAGUAGGAUAACCCUGCAGGAAAGUGGCUUCGCUUCGGUGGAGUGUUAUAGCCUGUAGCUAUACUGCUACCCUCGCCCGAGGACUGCGGAAACAAGGAUGCUGGCAUAAUGAUCUUAAGCCGCCCGUCUUGAAACACGGACCAAGGAGUCUAACGUCUAUGCGAGUGUUUGGGUGUAAAACCCGUACGCGGAAUGAAAGUGAACGUAGGUGGGAGCUUUAUUGCGCACCAUCGACCGAUCCUGAUGUCUUCGGAUGGAUUUGAGUAAGAGCAUAGCUGUUG
rnacentral:rRNA from 1 species